ACUACAAGCAUCCUAUAAAUGAGAUGGAGUGGUGUUGGAAUUGAUGAUUGAUGGAGGAAUGAGCAGUUUCGGGUCAUUGGAGGUGUGUCCUCGCACCUCUUUGCUGUGUUGCAGGGACAUCUCAAGGUCAUAGCUGGUGUGGAUAAAAGCAUCAAUGUGACAUCAAAGGGUGGAGAUGAUGAGUUCUCAGAGCUAUAUACAUUCAAAUGGACUACCUUAUUGAUACCUCCUACCACCUCACUUCUAUUGAACUUCAUUGGUGUUGUUGUUGGCAUUUUGGGUGAUUGCAUUACCUCCCGAGGCACUGAGGUCGUUCUCAAUUUAUUUGGUAGUGUUGACUUGAUCCUUGGUGGCAACCCCUGGACUGGUCUUUGAGUUGCAGCAGAGCGUUGUCACUAGGAACGCCAUGAUACACGAGUACGCGUGCGACAACGCGGAGGCGCAGGAGUGGGCGUUGGAGCUGUUUAGUGCGAUGCAGGCGGAAGGGUUGGCGCAAUAGAGUGAGAUUAUGUUGCCCAUGUUGUGCUGUGUUGGGAUGGCUCCAGGGCGAGACUGGCUGGUGGAGCUUUAUAACGCGAUGCAGGCGGAAGUUUGCUCGGAAGGUGAUAGCAUGUGCAUAUGAACUAUACGCGAUGGAUUGGAUAGAUGAAUCAAUUCUGAUAAGUGUUGGAGCACAAGAGUGGAAUUCAAGUGUACACAAUGUACUUCAAAAUGGCGAACAAUCUAUAUGACAUCAUUUUAACAAGUGAUCCAGAACUCAUUUGACUGACAGACGGUGCCAGCAAAGGUGUUAUGCAAAUGCUGAACACCAACACUAGAAAAUAAGGAUGGGGAAAUAAUUGUUCUUUAAAAAGAUGGAAUGGCAGGGUAAGAUAUGCUAAAGGGAAAACAUGAUGUGGCUAAAAGAAAUAGCCCUUUGGACUUUGUAAUGCAAAACUUCAUUUCACAAACAAUCAUUUCCUUGUUGAACAUAUGUUGUUUGAGAUUUUGGUUUAGUGCAUUAUUUAUAGGUU